AGAUCUGAUUGUUGGGUGAGAACCAUGUAUAAAUAUCACUGUUUGCUGAAUGUUGCCACCAUUGUCUGUGUAUAGCUGUAUAUUAGAUGUAUAAUGUAUGUGUUUGUAGAGUUAGAAUAUAUAUAUUAGUUUUAGUAGUAAGGUGACGAUAUGGGGAUAAGGGGUGGAAUGUCCUGGGUUGAAUAUAUGAUGCUUUUAUCCCCAAUCGUCUUGUUCUGUUUCUACCAAAUAAUAAGUUUUACACCUUUAAGACUCUCUUCCAGACAGUGAAGAGGGGAGGGAAGAAGCACACAGUUUGCUUUCAGACUGCUCUCACUCCUCCACAUUCCUGCUCCUGGACUGUGUUGUCUGCAGAUGGACAGACAGCCGGACAGAGCUCCUUUUUCCCUUUUUUUCUGCUUUUAGUUAGUUUUAGCUAGCUGAGGCAAAGAGGUUCCCUGGACUGUGAUUUUUUUUUUCCUUUUUUCCUGGACCUGUUCAAGCCUGCUCUGGACUGAACACCCAGAAGAGCACCGGCAGCUCCACCUGUGGCCCCUGGCUGGGCCUGGGCCGCGGCGUUUCCAGCACCAGAGAGACUGAUCAAAGACUGAGUGAGCCGAACUGCAACCUGGGGAGGGGACUGUUCUGAGUUUGCUUUCUUUGGAUCAGUGAGAAGUUUUAUUGUUUAAUAUUGUUUGGGUUCUAUUGUUUAAUAAACAGGUUUCUUUCCACUUUUCCUCCAAGGAGAUAUUUUCUCCCGAACCGGUUGGAGGGGGGAGGGGCAAUUGAAUCUGCUGUUGUAGAGAAGCCCCUUUGGGGGUUAUCUCCCAAACUUGCCCUAAACCAGGACAGAGAGAUCCUUUGUUGAGAAUAGAAGGGGUUUUUCUUCCCUACCGGUUUCCAAAGACUAGUUUUACAGUUUUAGGGAUGAUAUCGCAAAUUCUAAUUAAGGCCAGAACAUUAUUGUUCAGUUUAGCAAGUCAAAAAUUUGCAGUUAUCUAUUUACCACUGAAAAAAGAUUAUCUUGAUUGGGCAAUGCAAAAUUCUGAUGAUUUACAAUAUGCAUUGGUAAAUUUUCCAGGUAUUUGUUCUGUUCCUUACCUGGUUCACAAAUUAUUGCAAGCAAAAUUGAGUUUUGGAGAGGAACCUAUGUUAAGUGAGGAACCUUUAAAUGCAAUAACUCUCUUCACUGAUGGAUCUGGAAAAAGUCACAAGUUGUAAUUUGGUUGAACCAAACAUCUAAAACUUGGGAAUCAGAUUUUCAAAGAAUAGAAGGAACUCUUCAGAUUGUUGAGCUUGCUGCUGUGCUUCAGGCUUUCCAGCUCUUUCCACAACCUUUUAAUUGAAUCACAGACUCUGUUGCUAAUAUGGUUAAAAGAUUAGAAGGAUCAGUUCUAAAGGAUGUUAAUAAUGACACUCUGUAUCGUUGGCUUUUGUGUCUUUAUAUAUCUUUGCAAUAUAGAACUAAUCCAUACUUUGUUUCUUACAUCAGGGCUCAUUCUUCACUUCCUGGAUUUUUAGUGGAAGGAAAUGCGAGAGCAGACAAACUAGGAAUGGUUAUUUCAAACACUUUGCAAACAUUUUUGAACAAGCAAAACUGAGUCAUGCCUUUUUUCACUGUAAUGUGCCAGCACUUGUGUGAAUGUUUCAAAUUUUUAAAAGUCAGGCUAAAGCUAUCAUCAGUACUUGUUUUGACUGUCAGCUUGUGCAGCCUCCUGUUUCUACCGGAGAGGUCAACCCGCAGGGUUUGCAGAGCCUGCAGUUGUGGCAAAUGGAUAUCACUAAAUGCCCUUCCUUUGGUAAAUUUAAAGGUACUCAUGUUUCAGUGGGCAUGUUCUCUGGUGCAGUUUUUGCUUCUCUUCACACAGGUGGAACAGGUAAUCAUGCUUGUCAACAUUUUUUGCAAGCUUUUGCUUCAUUGCGUGUGCCCCAGGAAGGAAAAAAACGGCGAUGGUCCCGCAUAUAUAUCUCAAAAAUUGGCCACAUUUUUAAAGGAUUAGAAUGUUCGUCACAUUUUUGUUAUCCCUCGUUCUCCCACAAGUCAAGCAAUUGUUGAGAGGACACAUCAGACAUUAAAACGUAUUCUUGAUCAACAAAAGCGGGGAGUAGAGGUCAUAUCACAGAUGAGGUUGAACAAAGCUUUAUAUAUUUUUAAUUUCUUGAACUGCUCUGUUGCAGAACCUGAUACACCAAUUUUUAGGCAUUUUUCAAAUAAUACAAAGGAAAAAAUGGAAAGAAAAUCCCCCUGUUUUACUUAGAAACCCUGGGACAGGACAAAUUGAAGGUCCUUUCUGAUUAAUCACUUGGGGCAAAGGGUAUGCUUCUGUCUCUACAGGUGAUGGAAUUAAGUGGGUCCCAGUGCAAAACAUCAAACCAUAUCAGGAGCCACUGAGGCCAGCAGUGGGGACCAAGGCUGGGGCUCGUGGCCUGGCAGAGGACAGGUCACGCUGGCAUCUGUGUCCAGGAGCAGCUCCAGGCAGUUGGAUUCUGGCAGGCAGCCAUGUCUCCAACACUGGCCUUCAUCCUGGCCCUGUUAUUCACCCCCAGUGGGUUGAAAGCAGACAUAAAAAUUGAUAAGGAUGCGGUCAGGCGGAUGCGGGAGCACGAGGAAUUUCUGCAUCAGGAGAUGACUCGGCUCCUGCAGGAGGUGGAUGACAACAAUUCCAUAAUGGAAAGCCUGCUACUUUCUGUACGCCAGCUGCUGUGGCUGCCUUGGCUGAUCAUAGCUGGGCAGAAGGGGAAUCCAGCAAUUGAAAAGAAUGAAGCUAAACACAUGCAGGGGCGCCAGGAGUAUCUGCUGCAGGAAAUGACUCAGCUCCUGCAGGAGAUUGAUGGCAACAAUUCCAUCAUGGAAAGCUUUUUCCUUUCUCUAUGGCAUCUGCUGUGGCUGCCUCUGCUCUCUCUGGCCUUUUGGCUUGUCACAAGAUGGAAGUGUGGCUCUGCCAGACACAGCACGCAGGAGGAAUCCAGCAGCAAGAUGAAGAUUGUCAGGGUGAAGUUCAGCAGCAAGGAGAAGGUGAGUGAGCAUGAGAAGGACAAGGGUGCAGACAGGGGUGGCAGCAUUUUGGCUGUGCCCAGCCCAUCACCAAUGGGCACAUCUGGGAUAAGGCUGGAGUGGGCUGUCAGCAACCUGAUCUCAUUGGAAUGUCCCUGCUCAUUGCUGUGGGGUCACCCUGGACAGUCCUUAAAGGUGACUCCCAAGCCCAGCUGUUCUGUGAUUCUGUCAUUCUGCAGCAGGGCCUGCC